rnacentral:rRNA from 1 species
UACGUAGGGACCAAGCGUUGUUCGGAUUUACUGGGCGUAAAGGGCGCGUAGGCGGCGCGGUAAGUCACUUGUGAAAUCUCUGAGCUUAACUCAGAACGGCCAAGUGAUACUGCAGUGCUAGAGUGUGGAAGGGGCAAUCGGAAUUCUUGGUGUAGCGGUGAAAUGCGCAGAUAUCAGGAGGAACACCGGUGGCGAAGGCGGGUCUCUGGGCCGUAACUGACGCUGAGGAGCGAAAGCAUGGGGAGCGAACAGG